AAAUGUGUCAAGUGUGUACACAGACAAAGCCUCACUUCAAAGCUCGUGUUCAGGGCCCUUAAAGUCAUAGUUAUUGCAAAACUGCGGCCGUCUGGCGAACCUGCCUUAUGUAAGGGUGCUUGAACGUAUGAUUCACCAAACAUUUCCGCAGACAUCGCAAAGUUGUUGGAGCCAGAGUAGGAGAAAGACCACCCAUUUGAGAUCAUGGCUUGACAGGUCUCACAGGACAACUCAUCUCUCCACCUCUAUCCCCGUUUGGCGAGGCCUGGAACACUCCCUCCUGCCACCAGAAUGGGACCAAUCUAGACAUCUCUUCUCUGGCUUCCUUGUGCCUGGCCUUUUUUGGAGGGUUGGGAUAGUGGCCUGUCUUCAUGCAUGGUGAGAUAACACCAACAUCGAAGGAAGAUCUUUGCCACAGAGGAUCCUAGUUCCAGCUCCCAGCAGUGAGUGGUGGCUGAAUCCCGACAGAAGCAGCAGCAAGUGGCACCCUCUAGUGUUGCAGCCCUCAUAACUCAACCUUACAAAUGUUCCGGUUUGUAAGUCUAGAACACUGGGGUUCCUCAACCCUUGGCAGCUCUUGGCCCAGGAUGAGACCUUUGGCCCUGAAGGCUUAACAGCUAUCUGGAGCUCUUGUGGUGCCAGGGCCUGCCCUUGCUCUUCUCUGGCUGAUUAUAAGGUUUUAUCCGUUAGUCUUGGCUCUCUACCUCAGCUGCUAGGACUGUUCACUUCUGCCGCCUUAGACACAGGGUACCUGCUACUUCUGUGUGUGCCAUUUUGCCGCCACUGCUUUCCAGUCUCUGCUGCUUUCUGUUCUGUGUCAUCUUAUCCUGCACUACUAAAAGUAGGCAAGACCACCUAAGAGCAGUUGUGUGUGUGUGUGUGUGUGGGGGGGGGGGGGUAAGGCUGCAAUACCAGAGGAGCUUACAACACCAGAGUAUCCUGACUCAGCACACUGAGUGAGCCUGAACGUCCUCUGAUGUAGCCUAAGGACUAUACCUACCAACACUGGACAAGCACAACUGUUUGUUUUAAAUAAAUUAUACCCAACAC
rnacentral:lncRNA from 1 species